rnacentral:rRNA from 1 species
UACGUAGGUGGCAAGCGUUGUCCGGAUUUAUUGGGUUUAAAGGGUGCGUAGGCGGCCUAUUAAGUCAGGGGUGAAAGACUGCAGCUCAACUGUAGCAGUGCCUUUGAUACUGAUGGGCUUGAGUACAGAUGAGGCCGGCGGAAUGGGUGGUGUAGCGGUGAAAUGCAUAGAUACCAUCCAGAACACCGAUUGCGAAGGCAGCCGGCUAAACUGUAACUGACGCUGAGGCACGAAAGCGUGGGGAUCGAACAGG